CGUUCAAGUACUGAGAAUUAUGUAAUUUGAAAAUUUGAAUCUUUGAAAUUUUUAUUUAUAUGAUUAUUAAGUAAAUCAUUAAAUAUGACCAAUAAAGGAUACUUUUUACAUGAAGGGCCAGCUUAUUCAUUAGCGUUGAAUAAAGAAAAUACACAUGUUGUUGUUGCGGGUAGAAAUGUAUUCAAGGUAUUCCUCAUUGAACAAGGUACCUUUAAAGAAUCUGUUAAUUUGCGUUGUGGAAAAACAUCUAGUGUACAAAGUUCAUCAAGUAUGGAUGUUGCCUGGAACCCAGUUGAUGAUAACAUUUUAGCUACAGCUACCACGGGUGGUGCUGUUGUAACUUGGAACUUAAAUCGUUCAUCUAGAAAUAAACAAGAGCAUGUAUUCUAUGACCACAGAAGAACUGUAAAUAAAGUGACUUUUCAUUGUGUUGAACCAAAUUUACUAAUGUCUGGUUCUCAAGAUGGUACUAUGAAAUGUUUUGAUUUAAGAUUAAAAGAGCCCCCUAAAACAUAUUCAAGUGAUUCUGAAAGCAUAAGAGAUGUACAAUUUAGUCCUCAUAACUGUAACACAUUUGCUGCAGCUUCUGAAAAUGGUACCAUUCAAAUAUGGGAUCUAAGAAAAUCUGACAAGUGUUUAAACAAAUUUUCUGCCCACAAUGGCCCUGUGUUUUCUUGUGAUUGGCAUUCAGAACUUCCAUUUUUAGCAACUGCGAGUCGAGAUAAGAGUAUAAAAGUUUGGAAUGUUACAAACAAACCAAUAGCAGAGUAUACUAUUAGUACAAUAGCACCAGUUGGUAAAAUAAAAUGGCGACCAUAUCGUAAAUAUCAUUUAGCUUCUAGUGCUCUAGUUUUAGAUUCUGCUAUAAAUGUUUGGGAUGUGCGUCGACCAUAUAUUCCAUAUGCUUCAUUUACUAAACACACUGAUGUAGCAACAUGUAUAGCUUGGAAAGGAGACCCCUAUGUACUUUUAUCUACAAAUAGGGAUAGUACAUUACAUCAAAACUUUAUAAGUGAUGCAGACUUACCUUUAGAAAAUUCAAAUCCUCAAGGAAUGGCCAUAAAUAAUAGUGGUGAUCUUGCAUACUGUUGCCCAACAGUGUUAAACAAAUCUGAAAUUCAUAAGGCUGAUAAAAAUAAAGAAACAUCCAGAAAAACUUCUACCACUACUAGCGGUGAAGAAGAAUUGAAUACUUCAAGCCAGAUGAAUGUUUUUCGUGAUCCUAAAGUUUCUAUGUGUUUAUCCGAUGAAACUGAUUGUUUUCGAACAUGUGCUACUCAGUAUAAACUGAAUGGAAAACCAUUGGGAGAACUUUGUGAAUACAAUGCCAAUAUUGCAGCGAGUGUUGGAAGACCUACUAUUCAUUUAAUGUGGAAUAUACUAAGAAUACUAUAUGAUUAUGUUUCAAACAAUUCACCAAAAGAUGACACUCAAAGUAAUUCUAACAUUGAAAGUAGCUAUGAAGAAGAUGAAGAAGAUAUACCUCCUUCUACUAGUGAAGACGAGUGUCAAAAACCUGAAAAAAGAAAACCAUUGGGGGAUUUUUUUUUUGGUGACAUGGAAAUGGAUCCUUUAGGAGCAGAACUAGAUCAGUUUGAGACUAUUGGCUUGAGAAUGGAUAGUAAAAUUUUAGAUGAAGAUAGCAAUUGGAUAGUACCAACUGAAUCUAUAACUCUUAGGCCAGAAAUUUCAUAUCAACCAAUAGUUGAUCAUAAUUACAUAUCAGAACUUUCUCCAGUUAUUAAUACAUCAGCAACCAGUCGUAAGAUCACAGUACCAGAGUUACGAAUAACAUCUCCUGUAAAGUUUGAUUCAUGGGAUCCAACUGAGACAGUUGCAAAGGCUCUACGAUUUCAUGUUGAUCAGGGUGAUAUACAAACAGCUGUUUGUGCUUUAAUUGUUUUAAAUGAUGAUGUCAGAAGUGAAUUAACAAACCCUAAGAUUCCAAAUCAUCUUCAACAAACAGAAAUGGAACAAUGGAUGUUAGCCUAUAUUGAUCUUUUAAGUAGAUUCAAACUUUGGUCUAAUGCUACUACAAUCAUUCAGUUGUCGCGAAUCAAUAGUAUUCUUCAAUUAAAUCGUAUUUCUACAUCUGUAUAUUUAAGUUGUGGAUGGUGUUAUAAAGGAUUAACUCGGAGUAGUCGCCAUUGUUACAACUGUCGUCACUCUGAGUGUGCAAGGUGUGCCUUAUGUCAAAGGGUUGUUCGUGGAAUGUAUGCUUGGUGUCAAGGAUGUGCUCAUGGUGGUCACAUUAGUCACAUGAAACAGUGGUUUUUGGAAAAUAAAUAUUGCCCAACUGGAUGUGGUCAUAUGUGUGAAUAUUAAAACUUAAUGUAUGACUAUCAUUCACUAUACUUAACUAUUUUAGUGAUAUUUAGAAAAAAUAAAAAUACAAUAAAAAGUCUGGAGAAUCAAAUUUUACAUGAUUAAAAAAAUAAGAAGUAAAGACAUCAUAUUU